rnacentral:rRNA from 1 species
AGUGAACGCUGGCGGUAGGCCUAACACAUGCAAGUCGAACGGCAGCACAGUAAGAGCUUGCUCUUACGGGUGGCGAGUGGCGGACGGGUGAGGAAUACAUCGGAAUCUACUUUUUCGUGGGGGAUAACUUAGGGAAACUUACGCUAAUACCGCAUACGACCUACGGGUGAAAGCAGGGGAUCUUCGGACCUUGCGCGAUUGAAUGAGCCGAUGUCGGAUUAGCUAGUUGGCGGGGUAAAGUCCCACCAAGGCGACGAGCCGUAGCUGGUCUGAGAGGAUGAUCAGCAACACUGGAACUGAGACACGGUCCAGACUCCUACGGGAGGCAGCAGUGGGGAAUAUUGGACAAUGGGCGCAAGCCUGAUCCAGCCAUACCGCGUGGGUGAAGAAGGACUUCGGGUUGUAAAGCCAUUUUGUUGGGAAAGAAAAGCAGCAGGUUAAUACCCCGCUGUUCUGACGGUACCCAAAGAAUAAGCACCGGCUAACUUCGUG